rnacentral:snRNA from 1 species
AUCGCUUCUUGGCCUUUUGGCUAAGAUCAAGUGUGGUAUCUGUUCUUAUCAGUUUAAUAUCUGAUACGUCCUCUAUCUGAGGACAGUAUGUUAAAUGGAUUUUUAGAACGGGGAGAUGGAAUAGGAGCUUGCUCCGUCCACUCCAUGCAUCGACCUGGUAUUGCAGUAACUCCAGGAAUGGUACAUACACA